rnacentral:lncRNA from 1 species
CAAAAUUCAAUUUCAAAACUAAAACAUCCACUAUCCAAAAUUCAUUGUCCAAAUAUUUGCAAACUUAAACAAUUCAAGUACUAGAACAAAUUUCAAAAUCUCCAAAAUUCAACUUUGAUCUAACAUAAAAUUUGAAGGAUCAAUAUCCAAAUAACUCCCAAAUACCAAAGGAUCCAAAUGAACAUAACUAACAGUUAAACAAAAUCCAACAUAAAAUCCUAAAUCGAAUCCUAAUGAUGACCAUUCCUCAGCCCAGCCAUCACUCCUCACCCGAACUAAGAGUACCUGAAAAAUUUUCAACAAUUGGGAAUGAGCUCACAGCCCAAUAAGGAAUAUUAAUACAGUUCAUGGAUCAAAUAUUUUCAUUUCAAAUAGGAGAUAUCAUUUUUUUUUUUCAUCAAAUAUCAGAGUUUUAAAAAUACCAAUAUAUUCAAAAUUCAACCAACCAUUUUCAUAUCAAAUUCAAACACUUUCACAUAAGAUUCAAUCAAAUUCAUUCAAUUUUCAUUACUCUGGUUAUCAAAUAUCAAAUGCCCAGUUAGGUGGGACUUUUCAAAUGGGUGGCUAGCCUCAAAUUGUUCCUGGUGGACGGAACCAAACACUAUUAGUACUAGUAACCUCUAACCAAACCCCUAGAGACUGGGGUCCAAAUCAAUUACAUUCCCACCAUGAAAUGUAAAGGUCAACUAUUAUAUCCCGUUGAUAGGGCCGAAUAGUCAACUAUUAUAUCCCGUUGACAAGGGCCAAAUCAACCAGAGUGAUGUUUUUGUUCAAGUAUUCAAAUUUACACAACAUAAUAUCUCCAUAUUUUGUGUCAUAAAUAAAACAAAAUAUUCCAACAUAAUAUUUAGUACAAAACAGUUUGAUCCAUGCAUGGUAACAAAAUAUCAUUUUCUUUUCCACAAUUUAAAAUAACAUAUAAAAUAAUUUAAUUUUAUAAAUAUUGUAUUAACUUCCCUUACCUCAAAAAAAGUCCUCAAAAACUUUGGAGAAAAAUAAUCUUGAAAAUCUACUCUUCA